rnacentral:tRNA from 1 species
GGCCCGUUGGUCAAUCGGUUAAGACACCGCCCUUUCACGGCGGUAACACGGGUUCGAGUCCCGUACGGGUCA